rnacentral:rRNA from 1 species
UACGGAGGGUGCGAGCGUUUGUCCGGAAUCACUGGGCGUAAAGGGCGCGUAGGCGGCGCGGGAAGUCCGUGGUGAAAGCCCGAGGCUCAACUUCGGGUCGGCCAUGGAUACUCCUGGGCUUGAGCACUGUAGAGGCAGGUGGAAUUCCGGGUGUAGCGGUGGAAUGCGUAGAGAUCCGGAAGAACACCGGUGGCGAAGGCGGCCUGCUGGGCAGUUUUGCUGACACUGAGGCGCGACAGCGUGGGGAGCAAACAGGG